GGGUGCGAUCAUACCAGCAGUAAUGCACCGGAUCCCAUCAGAACUCCGAAGUUAAACGUGCUUGGGCGAGAGUAGUACUAAGAUGGGUGACCUCUUGGGAAGUCCUCGUGUUGCACCAC
rnacentral:rRNA from 1 species